rnacentral:rRNA from 1 species
UGGGGAAUCUUGCGCAAUGGCCGAAAGGCUGACGCAGCGACGCCGCGUGGGGGAUGAAGGCCUUCGGGUCGUAAACCCCUGUUGCCCGGGACGAACAGCCUAAUUCGUUAGGCCUGACGGUACCGGGUGAGGAAGCACCGGCUAACUCUGUGCCAGCAGCCGCGGUAAUACAGAGGGUGCGAGCGUUGUCCGGAAUCACUGGGCGUAAAGGGCGCGUAGGCGGCUUCUUAAGCGUGUGGUGAAAGCGCGGGGCUCAACCCCGCGUCGGCCGUGCGAACUGGGGAGCUGGAGCACGUCAGAGGCAGGCGGAAUUCCGGGUGUAGCGGUGGAAUGCGUAGAGAUCCGGAAGAACACCGGUGGCGAAGGCGGCCUGCUGGGACGUGGCUGACGCUGAGGCGCGACAGCGUGGGGAGCAAACAG